GUGAUGGCCAGUGGCCACAACAUCCCUGAAAUGGGGGGGGGGGAUGGGCCAAGAGAAAGACAGGAGAAAGGCAGUGAGAGUAAGCCCCUGCAGCGUCCAAUAGUACCUUUCUAGAUCAGCAGGUGACUGGACAGUGUGGAAAUACAGGAAAGUGCAUGGGUCGUAAGUUAUUGUUUGUUUAUUGGGGCUUUGGGGCGCCGACUACUGGUCUGAAGUAAAAGGGAACUGAAAAAACACAAGAAUAAUGACAAACAAAAUUAAGUACCGACUUACCUAACCAUCCCCUCCCCCUACAGCUCCCCACCAUGACCCCGUCCAACCCCGCGGACGACUGUGGAUCGCUGUGGCUGUGGUACCUCAGCGUCCCCACCGUGGUCACCCUGGUGAUCACCGCUACACCGCCAGGUCACUGGUUUUACCGCAACCGCUUCCGCUGGCCCGUCAGCAACCGCCUCAGCUGGUGCCUCAAGGAGCUGCCCGUCAUUUCUGAUUCCGGCCUGGCACCUCUGGUCAGCCCCGGCUGCGACCAGCCUACUCCGGCCGCCGCUGCUGCCGCUGACACUGUUCGCCGCUCACUACUUCCAGCGGUCUCUCAUCUAUCCAUGGCGAAUAUCCGCAGACUCAACGGAACCCGCACCAUACGUACUCAUGGCUACCGCCUUCACAACGUGGAAUGGCAUGGCUCAAAGUGCCGCGGCACUGCAGUGUCCGGCGGACAGUGGCGACAUCUAUACGGCACGACACCUGAUUGGUGCUGCCAUCUUUAUGAUCGGCGCGGCGAUCAACAUUGAUUCGGACCAGCGUUUGCUCUCGCUGAGGAGACCCGGCGGGCCGCGAUACAGCGUCCCUCGUGGAGGGUUGUUUGAGUUUGUAUCCGCUGCUAACUAUUUCGGAGAGAUGGUGGAGUGGUGGGGCUACGCGCUGGUCUCCUGGACGCCCCCGGCGCUGGGGUUCGCGAUGUUCACGACUGUCUACCUCACGGCCUGUGGCCACGAGCUGCACAACAAAAACCUGGGCAGAUUUGGGGACCAGUAUCCGAAAAACCGGCGGAGAGUCAUUCCCUUCAUAUUCUGAGGCGUUCUCAGACUAAAUAAGUUACGCUGAGAUGUUCAAAUGGGAAGCUUCCAAAGUUUCAAAUGGAAACUAGCGCUGAGCUUCAUGGCAAUUGAAUAUACGAAUGUGUUACAAUGA